GUGCAGAUUUGUCGAAAUUAUGGCUCCCGUGUUCUCAAGAGCAGCAUGGCAUUGUGUGUGGCAUAUGAUCCAGAACGAUCUGAUUCAUGCAUGGGGCUUGGACUUCAAAUUCGGCUAUUGCGCUCAGGGGGAUCGGAGUAAGAACGUUGGAGUAGUCGACAGCGAGUACCUCCUUCAUUUGGGCAUCCCCACACUCGGCUCCUCUUCUUCUCCUCCUUCUAAAGACAACAAGUACAGAGUAGCUCCGAUGCAGUGCCAGGAGAUGAAUCGGAGGCGCCUAUAGAAUCAAUGAUGGCGCCUCCUCCUGAAGCAUCACCCAGCUUCGAUGACAGAUCAUUGAUUAGGCAUCGGGCUCAAGAGGAACAGGUCCGUUUUCAAGAAAGAUGGAAGUAUGCUACUCAAUCUGAUGCAUGUUGGGUUGAUCCAUAUGUUAACUAAACAAACAUGUUAUGUAAAACGUAGGAUUUUUGGGGAAACUGGCUCAACCCUCUAUGGUGGCCUAUCACAUAUAUAUAAUGAUGAUGUACAAGUCGUAUGCCAAUACGGUAUGGAUUACACAGGUGGACUACAAUACGAAGUCUAACACCCUCCCUCAAUCUCAACUCACUCCUGAAGCAUCUAGAAGGUUGAGAUUGCGCCUACAGACCUCAAACAUGGGAGAAGGUAGAGGCUUGGUGAAGAUGUCUGCAAGUUGAUCUUUUGAAGAGAUAAACCUGAUUUGGAGUAGCUUCUGUGAAACAUGUUCCCUCACAAAAUGAUCGUCAAUCUCAAUGUGUUUGGUCCUUGCAUGGAACACCAGGUUUGAUGACAGAAACGUAGCAGAUGUUGUCGCACCAGAGGACCGGAGGAUGUGGCUAAGAAACUCCCAGCUCUCGAAGUAGAGAUUCAAUCCAUAUAAGUUCGACAGUCACAUUGGCAACCGCCUUGUACUCGACUUCUGUGCUACUACGGGAAACAGUGGCUUGCUUGCGUGCACUUCAGGCGAUCAAAUUAGGACCCAAGAACACAACAUAUCCCCCCAUAGAUCGCCUGUCAUUUGGACACCCAUCUCAAUCAGCAUCUGAGAAUGCAGAAAGGACUCCGGAGGAACUGGGGCGCAGGUGGAGACCAUAGGAGACAGUGAGGCGCACAUAAGGCAAUAUGUGCUUCAUAGCAGACCAGUGCACAUCAGUAGGCGCAUGAAGAUACUGGCACACCCUGUUAACCGCAAAAGAAAGAUCAGGACGCGUGAUCGUCAGAUACUGCAGUCCACCAACAAUACUCCUAUACUCAGUCGCAUCCUCAAGAGACAGAAGAGCACCGCCAGCAGCUGAAAGUUUGUCGGUGGAGGACAUGGGCGUAGGAGAUGUCUUGCACUUGAGCAUACCAGCACGACGCAAGAGACCAAGAGAGUACUUCUUCUGGGUGAGAGCUAAGCUGCCACGAGACUGAUGAGCGACUUCAAUACCUAGGAAGAAGUGAAGCUGUCCCAAAUCCUUGACUGCAAAAUCUCUGCCAAGCGCAGUCACAAGAGCAUCAGCAGCCGUCGGAGAGGAGCUGACCAGGAUAAUGUCAUCCACGUACACAAGAAAGUACAUGGUCACACUCGGUCGCUGAAACAAGAAUAGUGAAGUGUCAGCCGUCAAAGGAAUGAAGCCAUGAGUAUGCAAAGCUCAAGCCAGGUGAGCAUGCCAGGCACGAGGCGCCUGCUUCAGUCCAUAGAUAGCCUUUGUCAGACGGCAGAGAUGAGAAGGCUAAGUGUGAUCGACAAAUCCAGGUGGCUGCCGCAUGUAAACCUCUUCUUCAAGCAAUCCAUGAAGAAAAGCAUUCUGCACAUCAAGCUGGCGGAGAGUCCAUCCACGAGAAACUGCCAGAGACAGGAAAAGUCGGAUAGUGGUAGGCUUGACAACAAGGCUGAAUGUAUCCUCAUAAUCCAGUCCAUGGCACUGUUUAAAACCCUUAGCCACAAGAUGAGCCUUGUAGCGCUCAAUAGAACCAUCUGCAUGUUUCUUCACCUUGAAAACCCACCUCGAAUCAAUGAUGUUGACGCGAGGCGGAGGGGGAACUCCAAUAAAACCCUUAGUGU